rnacentral:rRNA from 1 species
GACGAACGCUGGCGGCGUGCCUAACACAUGCAAGUCGAACGGGGUGCUCUGGAAUGAGUCUUCGGAUGAUUUCCGGGGUUACCUAGUGGCGGACGGGUGAGUAACGCGUGAGCAACCUGCCUCUCAGUGGGGGAUAACAGUUGGAAACAGCUGCUAAUACCGCAUGAAGUACGUUGGGGGCAUCCCUGAUGUACCAAAGGCAAGCAAUUGCCGCUGAGAGAUGGGCUCACGUCUGAUUAGCUAGUUGGUGAGGUAACGGCUCACCAAGGCGACGAUCAGUAGCCGGACUGAGAGGUUGGCCGGCCACAUUGGGACUGAGAUACGGCCCAGACUCCUACGGGAGGCAGCAGUGGGGAAUAUUGGGCAAUGGGCGAAAGCCUGACCCAGCAACGCCGCGUGAAGGAAGAAGGCCUUCGGGUUGUAAACUUCUUUUAUCAGGGACGAAGGAUGUGACGGUACCUGAUGAAUAAGCCACGGCUAACUACGUG